AAGCUUAUCUUUAAUUUAAAUUAAAGUAGAUCUGACAAAUCAUUUGUUUUAUCCUUUUUUUGUUUCUUAACAGAAUAUGUUCCGGCUCCGUGGGAAUUCUAGAGGGGAUGGAACUGUGCCUUCAGGACCUAAACGGAAAGGUUCAUUAAUUCGUGGUGAUGUCUUUUUGGUGGACGAGGAUACUGAUUUGUUGGAUCCAGUCGUUCAAAACGGUGGAAAAGUGAACCCUCAGUGGAAGGGUUCCAGAAAUGGCCUCCAAAAGGGUAAACCUGAUCUUUUCUCUAAACAUUUCGAUGAAAACAUUACCACUGGAAAAAAGACAGAUUCAAAUGGUCAGUUUUCAUCGUUCCCUAAAAAACCUUCUAACGACAUUAUUGACCUGGACACUGGCAAGACCCCCAAAAAGCCAAAAGUGGGAUUUUCUGGACUCCCUACCAUCUCCUCUGAUCCAAGAACUUCCAAAGACUCCAACAAUUUAAAGGAGGAGGCAGAUGCAGAGACCACAACAUUUUUACCUAGAUAUCAUGUCACCACAUCUGGGUCCUUGCCAAAAGAUGUAGUUGAGAAGAACUUUACGCAAAACACAACACACUUUGAUCAUAUAGUUGAGCACAACAAUAAACUGCCAGACAAAAAGCACCCUGAGAUUUUCACCAUUGAAUCUAAGCAGGGAGACCUGGUCCAGGGAUCAGAUGACAAAAUAUAUCGUCUCCAAAAGGGACCACCAGGUGAAUUGGGCCCUCCAGGAUCACAAGGUUGUCAUGGUGAAAAAGGUCUGCCUGGGUUUAAAGGCAAUAGGGGUAAGAUUGGGCCUGAAGGGAGCCCAGGAAAAAAAGGGGAACAAGGACCUCCUGGACCAGCAGGUUUACCAAGUUUCUACCUCUGGAGGAACACUGCUGAGGAAUGGACUGCUUUCCAGGUAAUGUGGAAGGGACAACGCCUUCAUUUUAUUAAGAGUAGUGUUUACAGUAUGUUGAUUUAAUUUUUUUCUAAACAUUUGCCCAAUCCUGGUUGGGUAAAUAGUGCUCCACAGCUC
rnacentral:lncRNA from 1 species